rnacentral:other from 1 species
GCGGUCUGAGCCUAAACGGCAAGUAGCUCUUCGGAGAUACUUUAGGUUCAAAGACAUGCAAUGUUGUGUUUGCACGUUGUCCGGUUUUACCGGGCAGGUGACGAAAGUCACCAUGUUUCACUUCCUGUACAAUUUUGACCCUGUCUGUCAAUAGUGAAUUCUUUCCGCACUGCCUUUUGGCGGUGCUUUUUUUU